rnacentral:rRNA from 1 species
UACGAAGGGGGCUAGCGUUGUUCGGAAUUACUGGGCGUAAAGCGCGCGCAGGCGGCUAUCCAAGUCAGUGGUGAAAGCCCGGAGCUCAACUCCGGAACUGCCAUUGAAACUGUUUAGCUUGAGUAUGAGAGAGGUGAGUGGAAUUCCCGGUGUAGUGGUGAAAUGCGUGGAUAUCGGGAGGAACACCAGUGGCGAAGGCGACCUCCUGGCCUGUUCUUGACGCUCAUGCACGAAGGCUAGGGUAGCGAACGGG